rnacentral:rRNA from 1 species
UACGGGGGGGCAAGCGUUGUUCGGAAUUACUGGGCGUAAAGGGCGCGUAGGCGGUGCUCUAAGUCGGAUGUGAAACUCUGGGCUCAACCCAGAGCCUGCAUCCGAAACUGGAGUGCUAGAGUUCUGGGAGGGGGUAGCGGGAAAUUCCUGGUGGUAGCGGUGAAAUGCGUAGAUAUCAGGAGGAACACCGGGUGGCGAAGGCGGCUACCUGGACAGAAACUGACGCUGGAGGCGCGAAAGCCUAGGGGAGCAAACAGG